UACGGAGGGUGCGAGCGUUGCCCGGGAAUCAUUGGGCGUAAAGGGCGCGUAGGUGGCCUGCUAAGCGUGCGGUGAAAGUCGGGGGUCAACCCCCGAUCGGCCGUGCGAACUGGGAGGCUUGAGCACUGUAGAGGCAGGCGGAAUUCCGGGUGUAGCGGUGGAAUGCGUAGAGAUCCGGAAGAACACCGGUGGCGAAGGCGGCCUG
rnacentral:rRNA from 1 species